UAGGGGUUUGAUUCUGGCUCAGGAUGAACGCUAGCGGCAGGCUUAACACAUGCAAGUCGAGGGGUAACAGGGAUUGCUUGCAAUCCGCUGACGACCGGCGCACGGGUGCGUAACGCGUAUGCAACCUACCUUUUACAAGGGGAUAGCCCAGAGAAAUUUGGAAUAACACCCUAUACGAUCAUCAAUUGGCAUCAAUUAAUGAAGAAAACUCCGGUGGUAAAAGAUGGGCAUGCGUCCUAUUAGUUAGUUGGUAAGGUAACGGCUUACCAAGACUUCGAUAGGUAGGGGUCCUGAGAGGGAGAUCCCCCACACUGGUACUGAGACACGGACCAGACUCCUACGGGAGGCAGCAGUGAGGAAUAUUGGACAAUGGAGGCAACUCUGAUCCAGCCAUGCCGCGUGCAGGAAGACGGCCCUACGGGUUGUAAACUGCUUUUAUACAGGAAGAACUAUAUCUACGUGUAGAUAUUUGACGGUACUGUACGAAUAAGGAUCGGCUAACUCCGUGCCAGCCGCCGCGGUAAUUCA
rnacentral:rRNA from 1 species